CAGCAGCCGCGGUAAUACGGAGGGUGCAAGCGUUAUCCGGAUUUAUUGGGUUUAAAGGGUCCGUAGGCGGACUUAUAAGUCAGUGGUGAAAGCCUGUCGCUUAACGAUAGAACUGCCAUUGAUACUGUAAGUCUUGAGUAUAUUUGAGGUAGCUGGAAUAAGUAGUGUAGCGGUGAAAUGCAUAGAUAUUACUUAGAACACCAAUUGCGAAGGCAGGUUACCAAGAUAUAACUGACGCUGAGGGACGAAAGCGUGGGUAGCGAACAGGAUUAGAUACCCGUGUAGUCCCUGUCUCUUAUAC
rnacentral:rRNA from 1 species